GAUGAAGAACGCAGCGAAAUGCGAUAAGUAAUGUGAAUUGCAGAAUUCGGUGAAUCAUCGAAUCUUUGAACGCACAUUGCGCCCAUUAGUAUUCUAGUGGGCAUGCCUGUUCGAGCGUCAUUAAGUCCACUUAAGCCCUGCUUAGUGUUGGGAGACUGCUCCAGCGGUGCUACCCUGUAGCUACCCUGCAGCUCCUCAAAGACAGCGGCGGAGUUGUGGUAUCCUCUGAGCUUAGUAACUUGUUCUAGCUUUCGAGUACACCACUUCCCCUGCCGUAAAACCCUUAAUUUUUAAUGGUUGACCUCGGAUCAGGUAGGAAUACCCGCUGAACUUAAGCAUAUCAAUAAGCGGAGGA
rnacentral:misc_RNA from 1 species